rnacentral:siRNA from 1 species
GCUGGAGUAGCUCAGUUGG